rnacentral:lncRNA from 1 species
UGAACAUUAGUUUCUUGUUUCUUAUUUUGGACAAAGAAAACAUGUUUGGUUUUUGCCUAGCCAAACCAUGCAUGUUCCAUUCUUUCCCAACUCAUGUCAUAGAAACCCAUUCCUAAUACAAGUCUUUGUUGUCUGGGUUGAUAUAAAGGAACAAUUCAAAACCUAAAACAUUCCUUCACUACUUGGCUUCUUCACUCUAAAAUGGAAAGUUUUCACUAAUAUCUUACUUUUUAGACCCCACAUUUCUUUCCCUCUUGCUCAUUUUUCUCUUUAUGUUAUUGCUAGUUGAAUGUUACAUCACGUGCAGGCAAUUUUUGGUCGAGGCACCAAUGAUUUAAAUCAUUUAAUGAAUGCAAAUUAAGCCAUACUAUUAGUAUAUCAGAAUUGCAAUUUGAUUAUUUGAAUAAUUUCUUGGUGUCAACAAUCUCUUUAAAUUCAUAUUUACCUGACACUAAUGCCAACCGCAAGUUGGUUGUUAAGUUUGUGUUUAGUUUAUAGUUAUAGCUAAGGAAUUCGGAUUGCGUGCAAUCUGCAUCCUUAAU